rnacentral:rRNA from 1 species
UACGGGGGGGGCAAGCGUUGUUCGGAAUUACUGGGCGUAAAGGGCUCGUAGGUGGCCAACUAAGUCAGACGUGAAAUCCCUCGGCUUAACCGGGGAACUGCAUCUGAUACUGGAUGGCUUGAGUUUGGGAGAGGGAUGCGGAAUUCCAGGUGUAGCGGUGAAAUGCGUAGAUAUCAGGAGGAACACCGGUGGCGAAGGCGGGUCUCUGGGCCGUAACUGACGCUGAGGAGCGAAAGCGUGGGGAGCGAACAGG